UAUUGCCUUGUCUCUCUGAGUCUAACCUUUGCCUUCGCCGUUGUUCUCCGGUAGGAUGCCUUCCUGAUCCACUGGAUAAGCCUGGACCUUCUACCCCCCCUGGAAGGUUUUAUUUAAGUCACAUUGAGCAAGGGGAAACCUCCACCAGAUCCGUUCAAGUCUGCUUCAGGAAAACCCGGUGACAGUCCGCUCCAUUGCUCCUCUGGACCCAACGGUAGUCUGCCUGUCCGCCCUCAAAUGAGUUCAUUCAUCUCUGGAUAAAAUCCCACAAACUGGAUCCUAAGGAAUACCAAGAGCCCCCCAAACGAACUGGUGCAUCUCCUGGAACUGACCACUGAUCUGGGUCCUCAGCUGCUGAGACUUUUCUUCGGUUUUUCUUAUUUCUUCAUUCUGUGACUUGGCAAGAUUUUCUAUCUUGCUGAAAUCAUGGAAAUCUUUUCCCAAAAAUGCCUCUACCUCCUUUCUGAUUGAUGCAGCAGCUUCUUUGAUUGGUUUAAACUUGUGUCCUUGAUGUUUUUCACAAUCCCUGCAUAUGAGACACGUUAGCUGCUGAUCGGUGACGCAGAACAGCUUCAGCCUUUCGUCGUGUUCAGAGCAAAACCCCACAGGAGCCUUUAAAGUCAAUAAAACAAUCAACAGUCAAAAACAUUUACCUCUAGCCUCUGGUUAACUGCAACGUCGGCUAUUAAAAAUCAUAAAUAAUCAAAACCUUA